GACGAACGCUGGCGGCGUGCCUAAUACAUGCAAGUAGAACGCACAGUUUAUACCGUAGCUUGCUACACCAUAGACUGUGAGUUGCGAACGGGUGAGUAACGCGUAGGUAACCUGCCUGGUAGCGGGGGAUAACUAUUGGAAACGAUAGCUAAUACCGCAUAAUAUUAAUUAUUGCAUGAUAAUUAAUUGAAAGGUGCAAUUGCACCACUACCAGAUGGACCUGCGUUGUAUUAGCUAGUAGGUGAGGUAACGGCUCACCUAGGCGACGAUACAUAGCCGACCUGAGAGGGUGAUCGGCCACACUGGGAAUGAGAAACGGCCCAGACUCCUACGGGAGGCAGCAGUAGGGAAUCUUCGGAAAUGGACGAAAGUCUGACCGAGCAACGCCGCGUGAGUGAAGAAGGUUUUCGGAUCGGAAAGCUCUGUUGUAAGAGAAGAACGGGUGUGAGAGUGGAAAGUUCACACUGUGACGGUAUCUUAACAGAAAGGGACGGCUAACUACGUG
rnacentral:rRNA from 1 species